ACGAACGCUGGCGGCGCGCCUAACACCUGCAAGUCGCACGAGCGAGAGAGAGCUUGCUUUCUUGAGCGAGUGGCGAACGGGUGAGUAACGCGUGAGGAACCUGCCUCAAAGAGGGGGACAACAGUUGGAAACGACUGCUAAUACCGCAUAAGCCCACGGUGCCGCAUGGCACAGAGGGAAAAGGAGCAAUCCGCUUUGAGAUGGCCUCGCGUCCGAUUAGCUAGUUGGUGAGGUAACGGCCCACCAAGGCGACGAUCGGUAGCCGGACUGAGAGGUUGAACGGCCACAUUGGGACUGAGACACGGCCCAGACUCCUACGGGAGGCAGCAGUGGGGAAUAUUGCACAAUGGGGGAAACCCUGAUGCAGCGACGCCGCGUGGAGGAAGAAGGUCUUCGGAUUGUAAACUCCUGUUGUUGGGGAAGAUAAUGACGGUACCCAACAAGGAAGUGACGGCUAACUACGUG
rnacentral:rRNA from 1 species